AGUGAACGCUGGCGGCGUGCUUAACACAUGCAAGUCGAACGAGAACGGAUUAUAGCUUGCUAUAAUUGUCAGCUAAGUGGCGCACGGGUGAGUAAUGUAUAGGUAAUAUGCCUCUUACUAAGGGAUAACAAUUGGAAACGAUUGCUAAUACCUUAUAUUCCUUUUUAUCAAAAGAUAAAAAGGGAAAGAUUUAUUGGUAAGAGAUUAGCCUGUAUUGUAUCAGUUAGUUGGUGGGGUAAUGGCCUACCAAGACGAUGACGCAUAACUGGUUUGAGAGGAUGAUCAGUCACACUGGAACUGAGACACGGUCCAGACUCCUACGGGAGGCAGCAGUGGGGAAUAUCGCACAAUGGACGAAAGUCUGAUGCAGCAACGCCGCGUGGAGGAUGACACAUUUCGGUGCGUAAACUCCUUUUAUAUAAGAAGAUAAUGACGGUAUUAUAUGAAUAAGCACCGGCUAACUCCGUGCCAGCCGCCGCCGUAAAAC
rnacentral:rRNA from 1 species